UGGGGAAUAUUGCACAAUGGACGGAAGUUUGAUGCAGCGACGCCGCGUGGAGGGUGUAGGCCUUCGGGUUGUGAACUCCUUUUUCUCGCGAAAAAGGCACAGUUUUGGCUGUGUUGGUGGUAGUGGGGGAAGAAGCGCCGGCUAACUACGUGCCAGCAGCCGCGGUAAUACGUAGGGCGCGAGCGUUGUCCGGAUUUAUUGGGCGUAAAGAGCUCGUAGGUGGUUCGUCGCGUCUGUCGUGAAAGCCAGCAGCUUAACUGUUGGUCUGCGGGGGGGACGGGCGGGCUUGAGUGCGGUAGGGGUGACUGGAAUUCCUGGUGUAGCGGUGGAAUGCGCAGAUAUCAGGAGGAACACCGAUGGCGAAGGCAGGUCACUGGGCCGUUACUGACACUGAGGAGCGAAAGCGUGGGGAGCGAACAGG
rnacentral:rRNA from 1 species